GCUCCAGAGGGCCUGUGGGGGAGGGGGUGAUGUCUCAUCCCCCUUCCCAGGCAGUGGAGGCCUUGAGCCUCAGGAGGGCCCAGCAGAGAGGCUGGACAUCCUAUGAGCCAUUAGUGGGAAUGGAAGGCUGGUGGUGGGAAGUGGGAGCUGGUGGUGGCAGCAGGAUGCCCGGGGGAUGGCAGCUUGAGCUUCCCAGGCGCGUGACCUGUUCCUGAACCUGGCUCUGUGUCCGGCCAACCCCAAAGAAUCCCAGUGUUUUGGAGCUGAUGGGCUUGUAGGCACCACAGAGCCUGACUCUCUUUCCCCUUGUGCUUUUCCCGUGAGAAAGUGGAAGGUUGCCACGCUGGGAGUGCGAGGCAGGGCCCACCUUCUGCUCAGCCUCAGUCGGCCAGGAGGGGCGGGAGCCAUAUGAAAAGAGUCUUUCUGAAGACACCUCUUGGUCCAUACCUGGAGUAAUUACUGCUUAGCUGCUCGAUACAGUGCAGCUCUUCUCUCCCGUAAUCCACCCGGCAACUCUGGAAACCCACAACGAUGAACUCUCUGGUAGGUGAAGAAAUGGAUGCCCCAGAAGGGCUAAAAGGACCACAAAACAACCACACUAGCUGAGCUUUGACUGUACGCCAGGCUCACAAUAGCCCUAGGAAGCUGGCUUUAUUCCUAUCCGGAUUGUGCAGGAGAAACCAGGGCUCAGAGAUGCGAGGCCCUGUUCGGAGAAGUCUACCCCUCUAACCAUGUUGCCAGAAGUCUUUCUUCUCCGGAUGGGGACUUGGAUGGGGACUUGCAGGAUCCCACCUGGGACACCACAUUCCAAUUAGUCAUUGGAUCUCCUUGAGCUCCUCUGGGCCAGCAAAAUUUCUCAGACUUCCCUUGUUUUUGAUGGAGGACUGGUAUUUGGUAGAUGGUCCCUUGACUGGGGUUUAUCUGAUGAUUUUCUGGUGAUUCAGCUGGGGUUAUGGGUUUUGGGAAGCACGGAGGUAAAUUGUCCCUCAUUACAUCAUAUCAAGAGCAUGACUUACCACUGUUGCCAUUGACCUUGAUCAUUCAACUGAGGCGGCAUUGGUCAGGUGUCUUACCCUCCUGUCUCCUUCCAUACCGUCCUCCUUGGAAGGAAAUCAUCAUGUGUAGCCCACUUAAGGUGUGGGGAGUUAUUCUGUUGGGAGAAUAUCUCCAUAAAUUACUUGGGAUUCUUCUGCUCAGGUCAUGUGAAUGACCCACUUUUUGGCCAUUCAACUUUGCCCUGUGUUGGACAAGCCUACUGUGGUUUAGAUGUAGUCAUGAAUUCCAGCAAAUGGAAAAAAAAAAAACCAACAACAACAACCAAAAAUGUCCAUAAGGCCAAGGUGCUGCCUGAUGACCGAUAGAUGGAGUCCUACAAAAAAAUAGAUUAAAAAAAAAAACAACAAAAAAA